rnacentral:rRNA from 1 species
UACGGAGGAGGCUAGCGUUGUUCGGAAUUACUGGGCGUAAAGCGCGCGCAGGCGGUCUUGCAAGUCAGGGGUGAAAGCCCGGGGCUCAACCUCGGAACUGCCUUUGAGACUGUGAGACUCGAGAACGAGAGAGGAGAGUGGAAUUCCCAGUGUAGAGGUGAAAUUCGUAGAUAUUGGGAAGAACACCAGUGGCGAAGGCGGCUCUCUGGCUCGGUACUGACGCUGAGGCGCGACAGCGUGGGGAGCAAACAGG